rnacentral:rRNA from 1 species
AGGCAGCAGUGGGGAAUAUUGGACAAUGGGGGGAACCCUGAUCCAGCCAUGCCGCGUGUGUGAAGAAGGCCUUAUGGUUGUAAAGCACUUUAAGCGAGGAGGAGGCUUACGGGUUAAUACCCAGGAUAUGGACGUUACUCGCAGAAUAAGCACCGGCUAACUCUGUGCCAGCAGCCGCGGUAA